UAGAAGCAGAAGAUAUGACCUUUUGACCCCAGGGGCCUGUCAUCUUUGGAGGGAAACAAACAGAAAAUACAUCAGAUUGAGUAGAGAAUAAGUGUGUGCAUCCCAGAGCUAAAUAUUACUUUUUGCCAGCCGGGAGAUGAGUGCUCUAUUUCCACUGACUAGCAGACUCUGAAUUGAAAGAGCUCAAGUACAAACAAGAAUAAAGGAGCUGUAAUGCAGAGUAUAGGAAACACACAUGUCUAAGAAGCCUAUCUCUGAGAAGAGAAGACAGAGUCAUCAAAGACACCCAGUUGUGUGUGGGAGUCAUCACUGGGGGUUGAAUUAUCAGGCCAAAAACAACUGGGUAUGGCUCAGUUUCUGGAGCUGUUUCAUGUCAGGGUUAACUCCCACUUCAAAGAAACCCAGCAGACGGGAAAUGAAAGUUCAGGACAUCUUCCUUUGAAUCUGUUUUCAAAAUGGCUCAUGCAGUU